GUCGGCUUAAGCGGUGAAGCGCUUGGCUUCCGGACAGGUGGUCCCGGGUUCGAAUCCUGGUGUCGACU
rnacentral:tRNA from 1 species